UACGGAGGGAGCUAGCGUUGUUCGGAAUUACUGGGCGUAAAGCGCACGUAGGCGGCUUUGUAAGUUAGAGGUGAAAGCCUGGGGCUCAACCCCAGAAUUGCCUUUAAGACUGCAUCGCUUGAAUCCAGGAGAGGUGAGUGGAAUUCCGAGUGUAGAGGUGAAAUUCGUAGAUAUUCGGAAGAACACCAGUGGCGAAGGCGGCUCACUGGACUGGUAUUGACGUUGAGGUGCGAAAGCGUGGGGAGCAAACAGG
rnacentral:rRNA from 1 species